GAUGAACGCUGGCGGCGUGCCUAAUACAUGCGAGUCGAGCGAACAGAUGAGGAGCUUGCUCCUCUGACGUUAGCGGCGGACGGGUGAGUAACACGUGGAUAACCUACCUAUAAGACUGGGAUAACUUCGGGAAACCGGAGCUAAUACCGGAUAAUAUAUUGAACCGCAUGGUUCAAUAGUGAAAUACGGUUUUGCUGUCACUUAUAGAUGUAUCCGCGCCGCAUUAGCUAGUUGGUAAGGUAACGGCUUACCAAGGCAACGAUGCGUAGCCGACCUGAGAGGGUGAUCGGCGACACUGGAACUGAGACACGGUCCAGACUCCUACGGGAGGCAGCAGUAGGGAAUCUUACGCAACGGGCGAAAGCUUGACGGAGCAACGCCGCGUGAGUGAUGAAGGUCUUCGGAUCGUAAAACUCUGUUAUUAGGGAAGAACAAAUGUGUAAGUAACUAUGCACGUCUUGACGGUACCUAAUAAGAAAGCCACGGCUAACUACGUG
rnacentral:rRNA from 1 species